rnacentral:rRNA from 1 species
UGGGGAAUAUUGCACAAUGGGCGCAAGCCUGAUGCAGCCAUGCCGCGUGUGUGAAGAAGGCCUUCGGGAUGUAAAGCACUUUCAGCGGGGAGGAAGGCGGUGAGGUUAAUAACCUCACCGAUUGACGUUACCAGCAGAAGAAGCACCGGCUAACUACGUGCCAGCAGCCGCGGUAAUACGGAGGGUGCAAGCGUUAAUCGGAAUUACUGGGCGUAAAGCGCACGCAGGCGGUCUGUCAAGUCGGAUGUGAAAUCCCCGGGCUCAACCUGGGAAGUGCCUUCGAAACUGGCAGGCUAGCGUCUUGUAGAGGGGGGUAGAAUUCCAGGUGUAGCGGUGAAAUGCGUUGAGAUCUGGAGGAAUACCUGUGGCGAAGGCGGCCCCCUGGUCAAAGACUGACGCUCAGGUGCGAACGCGUGGGGAGCAAACAGG